AAGUUUGUUUUUAUGAAAG
rnacentral:miRNA from 1 species